rnacentral:misc_RNA from 1 species
AAGUCGUAACAAGGUUUCCGUAGGUGAACCUGCGGAAGGAUCAUUUGAGUUCUGCUCUCCAGUCUCUUUUGGAGAUCAAUCAAUGCAACUCUAUACACAAAGUCAACAGUGUGAAAGUGGAACCCACUCAAACGAGAUGAGUGCAGUGCAGUGUAUGUGCGUUCCCACGCAUGAGAAUGUGUGGGAGCGGCAUGCCGCUGGCUCGUCUCACUUUUUCAUGCAUUGCUGUGUGCGAUGGAUAACAAAAACACAUGUACUCUAAACCAUGCCAACAGUCUAUACAACAACAAUAGAAACCAAAAUGAACAGUUUUAACGGUGGAUCUCUAGGCUCGC